UUUACACUUGGAUGCCUUGGUCAAUCCAAAAUUGAGGUUGGUGGAACAUCGGUAGUGGUUGAGUUGUAUACACCAACUAGUGGUGUGUUAGUGGAGGAGGUAGAUUGUUCAUGGGGUUGGUUGCUAAUCUGAUGGGAUGUAGACGAAAGAGCAGUCGUGCUCUUGAGUGUAAUAGGAGGACUUGAUGUAUCAUUUUAGAAUAGGGAAGCUUGAUUAAUAUUGUGUGUGUGGGGAGGGGGGUGUAUA
rnacentral:lncRNA from 1 species